rfam:Candidatus Phytoplasma australiense complete genome
GAAAGCCGUAUGCUUGGAAACUUGCUCGUACGGUUUGGAGGGGGGCUGUUUGUAAUAGAAAGUAGAAAAACAAAUCCUACAAUCGAAACGCAAAUAAUCUAUCCCUAU